GGGACCGUCGAAUCGUGGAAGUCAACGAAUGGCUACGCAGGUGGUGUCGGAGAGAAGGCUUUGGAUUCUUUGACCAUGGGAUGGUGUUCCAUGAAGGAGGAGUGCUGGGCAGAGAUGGGCUCCACCUUACGAAGAGAGGGAAGAGCAUCUUUGCCAGCAGGCUGGCUAACCUAGUGAGGAGGGCUUUAAACUAGGUUCACCGGGGGAAGGAGACCAAAGCCCUGAGAUGCUGGGGGAAGGACUGAAAACUGGCUGCCUGGGAGAUGGUCCCGUGCCUUUGGGAAGGUAGAACUUCACGUCUAGGCACCUUGUUUGGAGUUGAACCUGAACAGUGGAAAGGUCACAGAAUAGUCUCCUGCUGGCAAGGAACCUUGAUGGAAUUAAGUCUUGCUGGGAUUUUCGCUGCAUUGUAUCCGAGACUCACUGUUAAUAGGUCACCAGAACCCACCUUCCUAGGAAUUGUUCUUAUAUGAGCGGUGGAUGCUGGAAGAGGAGACUGUUUUGGUUCUAUCUUAUUUCUCAAACGGAGGUCAAGAUCAAAGGCCUGAAUAAAGAAACCGCUGAUCUGCCCAGUUGGUGGUUCUGGAUCUAAGACAGAUGAAGUUGCAAUCGGGGGGGAAACUAAAACCUACCAGAGCCCUAGGUUGGAUUGGGGGUGACCUGUGGUAAGCUUUUUAGCAUGCAUGUAAGUUCUUUUACUGUUUUAAUGUGUUUUCUCUGUAAU